UACGUAGGGUGCAAGCGUUAAUCGGAAUUACUGGGCGUAAAGCGUGCGCAGGCGGCUUUGCAAGACAGAUGUGAAAUCCCCGGGCUUAACCUGGGAACUGCAUUUGUGACUGCAUGGCUGGAGUGCGGCAGAGGGGGAUGGAAUUCCGCGUGUAGCAGUGAAAUGCUUAGAUAUGACACAGAACACCGAUUGCGAAGGCAGCUCAUUAAACUGUAACUGACGCUGAGGCACGAAAGCGUGGGGAGCAAACAGG
rnacentral:rRNA from 1 species